rnacentral:rRNA from 1 species
CACUUGUCCCCUAAAUAGGGACUGGUAUGAACGGCUAAAUGAGGAUUAAACUGUCUCUUGUAAUUAACCUAUGAAACUGAUCUUGUAGUCCAAAAGCUACAAUAUAAACACUAGACGAGAAGACCCUGUGGAGCUUUUAAACCAAAACCAAAUAUAUGCCCUCUUGGUUUUUAGUUGGGGCAACUUCGGAGUACAAACAAACCUCCGACAAACAACAAAUCAAGACAAACAAGUCAAAACCUACACUUGACCCAAUAGUUUUAUCUAAACUAUUUGACCAAUGAACCAAGUUACCCCAGGGAUAACAGCGCUAUCCUCUUUUAGAGUCCCUAUCGACAAGAGGGCUUACGACCUCGAUGUUGGAUCAGGACACCCCAAUAAUGCAGCCGUUAUUAAAGGUUCGUUUGUUCAACGAUUAAAGUCCUACG